GUAGCGGUGAAAUGNGUAGAUAUAUGGAGGAACACCGGNGGCGAAAGCGGCUCUCUGGCUUGUAACUGACGCUGAGGCUNGAAAGCGUGGGGAGCAAACAGGAUUAGAUACCCUGGUAGUCCACGCCGUAAACGANGAGUGCUAGGUGUUAGACCCUUUCCGGGGUUUAGUGCCGCAGCUAACGCAUUAAGCACUCCGCCUGGGGAGUACGACCGCAAGGUUGAAACUCAAAGGAAUUGACGGGGGCCCGCACAAGCGGUGGAGCAUGUGGUUUAAUUNGAAGCAACGCGAAGAACCUUACCAGGUCUUGACAUCCCUCUGACCGCUCUAGAGAUAGAGCUUUCCUUCGGGACAGAGGUGACAUGUGGUGCAUGGUUGUCGUCAGCUCGUGUCGUGAGAUGUUGGGUUAANNNNNNNANCGAGCGCAACCCCUAUUGUUAGUUGCCAUCAUUCAGUUGGGCACUCUAGCGAGACUGCCGGUAAUAAACCGGAGGAAGGUGGGGANGACGUCAAAUCAUCAUGCCCCUUAUGACCUGGGCUACACACGUGCUACAAUGGCUGGUACAACGAGUCGCAAGCCGGUGACGGCAAGCUAAUCUCUUAAAGCCAGUCUCAGUUCGGAUUGUAGGCUGCAACUCGCCUACAUGAAGUCGGAAUCGCUAGUAAUCGCGGAUCAGCACGCCGCGGUGAAUACGUUCCCGGGCCU
rnacentral:rRNA from 1 species